rnacentral:rRNA from 1 species
CCCUUAGAUGUCCUGGACUGCACGCGCGCUACACUGGAAGUUACGGAUUGAGAUACUACCUUGUCCGAAAUGGUCCGGGUAAUCACCUAAAAGCUUGUCAUAAUUGGAAUGGAUUAUUGUAACUAGUAAUCCUGAACGAGGAAUUCCUAGUAAGUCCCAGUCAACAGCUGGUACUGAUUACGUCCCUGCCCUUUGUACACACCGCCCGUCGCUACUACUGAUUGGACGUUUAAGCAAGAUUUUUAAACACUGACAGUGUGUAGUUCACGCUAUACUACAGUGAGAAGAAGAAGAUCGAGCUUACUUGUCUAGAGGAAGUAAAAGUCGUAACA